GACGAACGCUGGCGGCGUGCUUAACACAUGCAAGUCGAACGGAAAGGCCCUGCUUUUGUGGGGUUCUCGAGUGGCGAGCGGGUGAGUAACCCGUGAGUAACCUGGCCUUGACUUUGGGAUAACUUCAGGAAACUGGGGCUAAUACAGGAUAGGAGCUCCUGCUGCAGGGGGGGGGUUGGACAGUUUCGGCGGUUGGGGCUGGACUUGGGGGUUAUCAGCUUGUUGGGUGGGUAGUGGCCUACGCAGGGUUCGACGGCUAGCCGGCAUGGGAGGGGGAACGGGCACAUGGGGACUGAGGGACGGAGCAGAGGCGAACGUGAGGCAGUGGUGGGGAAUAUUGCACAACGGGCGGAAGCCUGAUGAAGAAGCGUCGCGUGCGGGAUGACGGCCUUCGGGUGGUAAACCGCAUUAGCCUGAGACGAAGCGGGAGUGACGGUAAUGGGAAAAGAAGCACCGGCUAACUACGU
rnacentral:rRNA from 1 species